rfam:Schistosoma curassoni strain Dakar, Senegal genome assembly, scaffold: SCTD_scaffold0005457
ACCCAGCUGACGAGUCCCAAAUAGAACGAAACGCAUGUCAUGGGU